GAUGAACGCUGGCGGCGUGCCUAAUACAUGCAAGUCGAGCGAACGGACGAGAAGCUUGCUUCUCUGAUGUUAGCGGCGGACGGGUGAGUAACACGUGGAUAACCUACCUAUAAGACUGGGAUAACUUCGGGAAACCGUAGCUAAUACCGGAUAAUAUUUUGAACCGCAUGGUUCAAAAGUGAAAGACGGUCUUGCUGUCACUUAUAGAUGGAUCCGCGCUGCAUUAGCUAGUUGGUAAGGUAACGGCUUACCAAGGCAACGAUGCAUAGCCGACCUGAGAGGGUGACAGCCACCAUGGGAAAGGAGACAGGGUCAAGCACCAACGGGGAGGCAGAGGGAGGAAAUUUGCAGAAAGGGGAAAAGGCCUGACGGAGAACCGCGGGGGGAGGAAAAAAGGUGUGGGGAUCUAAAAACGUUUUUAGAGGGAAAAAAAAUAGGUGAAAGUAAUAGGGCAAAUCUUGAGGGUACAAAACAAAAAAGCCACGGAAAACUAGGGC
rnacentral:rRNA from 1 species